UAAGGAAUAUUGCGCAAUGGGCGAAAGCCUGACGCAGCAACGCCGCGUGCGGGAUGAAGGCCCUCGGGUUGUAAACCGCUUUCAGUAGGGAAGAAAAUGACGGUACCUACAGAAGGAGCCCCGGCCAACUACGUGCCAGCAGCCGCGGUAACACGUAGGGGGCGAGCGUUGUCCGGAUUUAUUGGGCGUAAAGAGCUCGUAGGCGGUUUCGUAAGUCGGAUGUGAAAACUCCAGGCUCAACUUGGAGACGCCAUUCGAUACUGCGAUGACUUGAGUCCGGUAGGGGAGUGUGGAAUUCCUGGUGUAGCGGUGAAAUGCGCAGAUAUCAGGAGGAACACCGGCGGCGAAGGCGGCACUCUGGGCCGGUACUGACGCUGAGGAGCGAAAGCGUGGGUAGCAAACAGGAUUAGAUACCCUGGUAGUCCACGCCGUAAACGGUGGGCACUAGGUGUGGGAUUCACUCAACGGAUUCCGUGCCGCAGCUAACGCAUUAAGUG
rnacentral:rRNA from 1 species